AAAAUAAUGUCAUGUAUACAAGGUGUGUUUGGAGGAUUGCAGAUGCAGGGGCACUGUACUGCUGAGGGAGUGUUGGAAGCUCACUGCAGAAGAUGAUAAAAGCAGACUGAUGUGUAUUACCUGCUGAAAUUGUCAGAGAUGGCUUUGGAUUCCCAAUUCUGCGUGCUUCCUGUCUGGCUCCUGAACCCAGCUGGAGAGGUGAGUCAGUCCCAACUGGUGAAGUACCGAGAAGAAGCUACACAAAAGGCAGCAAGGUGUUAAUAAGUGUACCUCUGACAUUUUAACCACCUCUGAGUGUUCCAUGGAACGGACAAGUAGUAGUCUCUGUCAGAGCUACGUUUUAAAGGAAAAAAAGAACCUUGAAAGUCGUAAACUGUUUAUUAAUUUAUGCUGUUAUUUUGUGUUUACUCAGCUCAUUUAUAUUGACUUGUAAAUUAGUAAUUUAUGAACUAUUAUCUAUCAAUUCCUGGCCUACCUGUCGGCAAACAAAUUUUCUUCUUAAUAAAGAAUCCGGUGGCUGGGCACAAUGGUUCACAUCUGUAAUCUCAGCAUGUUGGGAGGGCAAGGCAUGAGGAUUCCUUGAGGCCACGAGUUCAAGACCAGCUUGUGCAACAUAGCAAGAUUUCAUCUCUACAAAAACAUGAAAACAUUGGCUGGGCAUGGUGGCUCAUUCCUGUAGUUCAGGCUACUCAGGAGCCUGAGGUAGGAGGAUCACUUGAACCCAGGAGUUUGAGGCUGCAGUGAGCUGUGAUCCUAACACUGCUCUCCAGCCUGGGUGACACACCAAGACACCAUCUCUUCAAAGAAGGAAUCUAGGGGCAUCAGUGUGUGCACGCAGCAUGGCUUGUGAAUGCAGAAGUGUAUGUGUGCAUAGUUGUGCUCAAGAAUGUGUUGAUGAUUAUACCUUCUCAGAAUGAAGGUAAUUUUUUUCUUUUUUUUUUUUUGAGAUGAAGCCUUGCUCUGUUGCCAGGCUGGAGUGCAGUGGCACUAUCUUAGCUCACUGCAACCUCUGCCUCCUGGGUUCAAGUGAUUCUCCUGCCUCAGCCUCCCGAAUAGUUUUGAAUACAGGCACAUGCCACCACUCCUGGUUAAUUUUUUGUAUUUUAGUAGAGAUGGGGUUUCACCAUGUUGGCCAGGAUGGUCUCGAUCCCCUGACCUCGUGAUCCUCCCACCUUGGCCUCCCAAAGUGCUUGGAUUACAGGUGUGAGCCACCGUGCCUGGCCUGAAGGUCAUUUUUAUAAAGAUCUCUCCACAUCUUAGAUUUGAUUCUUCCUUUAAAUAUUUUUCUCAUUGACAUUUGAAAGCACCUGACCAUAUAUAAAAUGAAGAAUUUUCCUAACUCCAUAAAAGGAGAAUUAUGACAUCAUCUACUAUUUCUGUCUCUUGACUCAUAAAUCUACACCAUCAACCUGCUUAUUUUUGUAUACUGUCACACUGUGUAUUCCCUGCAUUGAAUGUCUUUCUAUUGAUAUUCUCUGUAAAAAUUGUGGGAAGUUUUCUGCACCGUAAAUUUUCUGUUAUGGGGAUUAAAUAUCCACUAUCUAUGUUUUUCCAAGUUUUACAGCAGCAACGGUAAAUACCGCCCUCACAGCAGCCUGGUGUUUGUCCUGCUAUUGUGUUUCCAUCACAUUACAUGAAGCCUCUUUGUCUUUGCGGUCGUACCCUACUAAUAAGUUAUUUUAGAAAUUAUGUAAUAUGUGUAUAUACAAAUACCUAUAUGUAUGUGUGUACACAUACAGCUGAUAUCUAGUGAGAUUAUGUAGGAAUGAACUGUAGAAUUAGUUUGUAAUUUUAAGAAAAUAAAUUAUUUUAUAAAAAAUCUCAUGUUUAAGAAGGGGAAUUACAAUUGAAUCAUUUAGGGAUGCCUCAGACUAAGCAUAAUAUGGAAAAAGCCACAGUGAAAAGUCAUGUUAGAGUACUGCUAGGUUACUCAACCUAUCAUCACAUUUAAUUAAAAUGUCAGUUUGAACCAUGGCCAGUCUAUUUUGGUUAAUAUAUUAUCGAAAUCAACUUGUGAAGUCUUCAUUUUAAAUAUAUAAUUUGUGUUAAUGAACUGGAAAAUAACAUUCUAUUGCUUGGAAGUUGUGUUAAAGCCUAAAGAGUUAUGACUUUGUGAAAGAAGAAAACCAGCUGGUGAUCAGUUGGCAUUAGUACACGAGGGUGCACUCAUAUUUGGUAAUAGCCAUUUUUUUCUAACUAGAGUAAGGGAGUUGGGAACAGGAAGCAGAAACAAGGACACGGAUGUAUAAAAAAUCAUAGCACAAAACUGCAUUGAGUUCUGAGUACGGGUCUGUGAUCCGUGCUUCAGUUUGAGAGGUUCAGGUGUUCCUUAUGAGAAGGGACAGGAAAGCCAGGAGGAUAGGAGUGUGUUUGGGCCUGUGCCUGUGCUUCCACCACAGAAGUCAGCAGCUCUACCUUUCUCUUUUCUCCUCUUUAUCUAAUAAUUGUCUCCUCUUCAAAUUUGGGAAAUGAGCUUAAUCAAAGGUUUGUUGUGUUAUUGUUUGUUUGUUUUUGAAAUGUGGCCUCAGUGUGUUGCCCAGGCUGGUCUUAAACUCCUGGGCUCAAGUGAUCCUCCCUCUCAGCCUCCUGAGUAACUGGGACUACAGGCGUGCACCACCACACCCAGCUAAGUUAAUGCUGACGUAUAGUUUAUCUGCUUCAGUUUUGAAGGGCAGGAUGUAUGUAGUUCUGUGUGUGUGUCGGGGGAGGGGGGUACUAUGUGUGUGUGUGUGUAUAUAUAUAUAUUUAUAUAUUACUAGUCCAUCUAGUCCAUUGCUGCUACAACAAACUACCACCAUGUGAGGGCAUAAAACAAAUUUAUUACACUCCUUUAUGUCAGAGUCUGAUGUGGAUCUCCCUGGGCUAAAAUCUAGGUGGUGGAAAGGCUACCUUCAUCUCUAGAGGCUCUAGGGGAUCAUUUUUCUUGCCUUUUCCACAUUCUGGAGUCUGCCUGCAUUUUUUGGCUUUGGGCUGUUCUCCACUCUCACCAUUAGCAACCUUGCAUCUCAUGGACCCUUCUUCUAUGGCCACAUGUCUCUGUGGCUCUUGCCUUCCCCCAUCUCUUCCACUGUUAAGGACUCAUGUGCUUACUUAGUCCUGAAUGGAGACGCCAUCAUCAUCCACAUGAGCCCACUGUCCUAAUCCAUAGAGGCUGCUACAAGGAAAUGCACUAGACCCGGCAGCUUAUAAACAGCAGAACUUUGUUUCCCGCAGUCCUGGAGGAUAAGAAAUGCAAGAUCAAGGUGCCCACAGUGUUGGUGUCUGGAGAAGGUCUGCUUUCUCAUGGAGGCUUCCUUCUUGCUGUGUCUUCACAUGGUGAGAGGAACAAACAGUCUCCAUUUUGCUUUUAAUAAGGGUGCUAAUCCCAGUCAUGAGGGCAGAGUCUCCCGUCAGGCUUAACUUCCUAAUACCAUCACCUUGAGGGUUAGGAUUUUAACACAGGAACAUUGACGGAACACAACAUUCCUUCCAUAGCACCAGGGUAGUCUCCUCAUGUCAAGGUCUUUACCUUAAUUACAUGUAUGACAUACCGUUUUCAUGUAAGGUUCUAGGAAUCUGUGGACAUCUUUGGGGGGCCAUUAUUUUGCUGACCACAUUAUACAUAUAUAUAUAUAUAUUCUAGACUAGUAUGAAAACAGUGCUACUUCCAUUGCUUUAUGUAUGUGGAUAUAUAUAUAUUGUCUAAUGCUAUAAUUUUAAAAAAGUUAUAGACACAAAUAUAACCAUUUUAAAAAAACAUUUUUUGCUAUUUUACUUCAUACUGCCAUCUUAUUUUUCCUGAAACUGCUUCAACCCUGGAAUUCUUUAUUGCUAUUAGUUUUAUUUUAUUGAAAUAUUCAUGAAUGAGCAUACGAUUGUAUGUGGAUUUAAAAUUCACAGUAAUUUUCUCAUGAAUUCAUCUGUGAAUAACAUUUUAUAGACAAAAUGUCUGCACUAGGAUGAGGACAAGAGGAAGAUGUAUAAUUCCCUUGUUUUAAGGUACCGCCAUUCAUUAUUAUUAUUUUAAAAUAUGAGUGUCGACUGAUGUUAAAACACAAAAAGGGAGUGGUGGCUCCCGCCUGUAAUCCCAACACGUUGGGAGGCUGAGGUGGGUGGAUCACCUGAGGUCAGGAGUUUGACACCAGCCUGGCCAACAUGGUGAAACCCUGUCUCUACUAAAAAUACAAAAAUUAGCUGGGUGUGUGGUGUGUGCCUGCAAUCUUAGCUACCCAGGAGGCUGAGUCAGGAGAAUCGCUGGAACCUGGGAGGCAGAGGCUGCAGUGAGCCGAGAUUACACCACUACACUCCAGCCUGGGUGAUAAGCUAGACUCUGUUCUUCCCCCACCCCCAACCGAAAAGAACCACACACACACACAAAGGGAUGAUUGGCUGGGCACAGUGGCUCACACCUGUAAUCCCAGCACUUUGGGAGGCCAAGGCAGAUGGAUCACAUGAGGCCAGGAGUUCGAGACCAGCCUGACCAACAUGGAGAAGCCCUGCCUCUACUACAAAUACAAAAAUUAGCUGGGCAUAGUGGCACAUGCCUGUAAUCCCAGCUGCUUAGGAGGCCGAGGCAGAAUAAUCACUUGAACCUGGGAGGUGGAGGUUGCAGUGAGCUGAGAUCACACCAUUACACUGCAGCCUUGGCAACAAGAGCAAAACUCCAUCUCAA